rnacentral:rRNA from 1 species
UACGAAGGGGGCUAGCGUUGUUCGGAAUUACUGGGCGUAAAGCGCACGUAGGCGGAUAUUUAAGUCAGGGGUGAAAUCCCAGAGCUCAACUCUGGAACUGCCUUUGAUACUGGGUAUCUUGAGCAUGGAAGAGGUGAGUGGAAUUCCGAGUGUAGAGGUGAAAUUCGUAGAUAUUCGGAGGAACACCAGUGGCGAAGGCGGCUCACUGGUCCAUUACUGACGCUGAGGUGCGAAAGCGUGGGGAGCAAACAGG